rnacentral:ncRNA from 1 species
CGGGGAAAAGCAGACUCCCCAUCAGACGGCCUUUUCCGUCCAAGCUCUGC